rnacentral:rRNA from 1 species
CGUAGGGGACAAGCGUUAUCCGGAUUUACUGGGCGUAAAGCGCCCGUAGGCGGCUUUUUAAGUUGGACGUGAAAGCUCCCGGCUUAACUGGGAGAGGCCGUUCAAAACUGAGAGGCUAGAGUGAGGCAGAGGAGCGCGGAAUUCCCGGUGUAGUGGUGGAAUGCGUAGAUAUCGGGAGGAACACCAGUGGCGAAAGCGGCGCUCUGGGCCUAAACUGACGCUGAGGGGCGAAAGCGUGGGGAGCGAACGGGAUUAGAUACCCCGGUAGUCCACGCCGUAAACGAUGGAGACUAGGUGUAGGCGGAUAGAACCCCGUCUGUGCCGAAGCCAACGCGUUAAGUCUCCCGCCUGGGGAGUACGGCCGCAAGGUUA